UCCACCGAUUGUUGAUCAACUGCUGCAUCCGAGCGUCGUUUCUGUCGAAGGGUUACUACCUCGUCCUCGUCAUCUCAUCCGGCCCGGUUCUCAUCCAAAGCUUCGUCGAUUUCACUUCCGGCAAAGGAUCCUCGCUGUUGCAGGGUUACUACCUCGUCUUCAUCCUCCUCCUCGCAAAAUUCGUCGAGGUCUCGUCCACUCACCAGUUCAGUUUCAACUCCCAGAAGCUGGGGAUGCUCGUCCUCAUGCUCAUAUUUUAUGCAAAUCGACAGCACUUUGACCUAAUUAACCGCGGUACUGUAUCAUCUUAUUCACUUAUGUUCUUGCCUCUCUGUUUUUUCUUUCUUUUUUUUUUUAUAGCUUUGAAUCUUUGUAUCCUCUGAACACGACGCAGCUACGCGAGUAUAUUGAUGGCACAGAGGACUACAUUAACAUAUAGCUAGACAAGCAUCGAAAUGACUUGAUUCAGUGGCCUCUCUGAUCGCAGGAAUAUUUGGUAUGAACAUUCCCUACACAUGGAACGACAACCACGGAUACAUGGCGGCAACCAAUAAGAUGCUCAAUUACAUGAGAGUGAUCAAGUUUCAAGCUUGGGAAGAUCAUUUCAACGAGAGGAUUCUCAAGUUUAGAGACAUGGAGUUUGGCUGGCUAUCCAAGUUUCUCUACUCCAUCGCUGGGAACGUCAUCAUGCUGUGGAGCACACCGGUCUUGAUCUUGGCGCUCACUUUCACAACCGCUGUUUUCUUGGGAGUUAAGCUAGAUGCAGGAACGGUUUUCACCACAACCACCAUUUUCAAGAUACUCCAAGAACCGAUCAGUUAACCUCAGUGGAGGUCAGAAGCAGAGGAUACAGCUUGCCCAAGCGGUUUAUCAAGAAGCCGACGUGUAUCUACUUGAUGAUAUCUUUAGCGCCGUGGAUGCUCAUACCGGUUCAGACAUAUUCAAGAAAUGUGUAAGAGGAGCAUUGAAAGGAAAGACUGUCUUGCUUGUAACUCAUCAAGUAGACUUCCUUCACAACGUUGAUUGCAUCUUGGUUAUGCGAGAUGGAAUGAUUUGCACUUCAACGAGAUAUGUUUUGCACUUGCUAGCACAAUUACGGCUGGUGGGGAUUCUUGUUGUCUUCUUCUCCAUUUUACAUAUAAAAAAAAAUAUUUUAUUUUUAUUAUUGAUGAACUCUGUUUUGGGGUUCAUUAAUAGACCAAAAAAAUAAAUAACUCAAGUUCUUCUUUAAACUC